GUGGGGAAUCUUCCGCAAUGGACGAAAGUCUGACGGAGCAACGCCGCGUGAGUGAAGAAGGUUUUCGGAUCGUAAAGCUCUUUCGUUAGGGACGAACGUGCUCUUUGUGAAUAAUGAGGAGUAAUGACGGUACCUAAAUAAGAAGCCACGGCUAACUACGUGCCAGCAGCCGCGGUAAUACGUAGGUGGCAAGCGUUGUCCGGCAUUAUUGGGCGUAAAGCGCGCGCAGGCGGGAUAUCAAGUCUGUCUUAAAAGUGCGAGGCUCAACCUCGUGAGGGGACAGAAACUGGUAUUCUUGAGUGUCGGAGAGGAAAGUGGAAUUCCAAGUGUAGCGGUGAAAUGCGUAGAGAUUUGGAAGAACACCAGUGGCGAAGGCGACUUUCUGGACGAUGUCUGACGCUGAGGCGCGAAAGCUAGGGGAGCGAACGGGAUUAGAAACCCCGGUAGUCC
rnacentral:rRNA from 1 species